GAUGAACGCUGGCGGCGUGCCUAAUACAUGCAAGUCGAGCGAAUGGAUUAAGAACUUGCUCUUAUGAAGUUAGCGGCGGACGGGUGAGUAACACGUGGGUAACCUGCCCAUAAGACUGGGAUAACUCCGGGAAACCGGGGCUAAUACCGGAUAACAUUUUGAACCGCAUGGUUCGAAAUUGAAAGGCGGCUUCGGCUGUCACUUAUGGAUUGACCCGCGUCGCAUUAGCUAGUUGGUGAGGUAACGGCUCACCAAGGCAACGACGCGUAGCCGACCUGAGAGGGUGAUCGGCCACACUGGGACUGAGACACGGCCCAGACUCCUACGGGAGGCAGCAGUAGGGAAUCUUCCGCAAUGGACGAAAGUCUGACGGAGCAACGCCGCGUGAGUGAUGAAGGCUUUCGGGUCGUAAAACUCUGUUGUUAGGGAAGAACAAGUGCUAGUUGAAUAAGCUGGCACCUUGACGGUACCUAACCAGAAAGCCACGGCUAACUACGUGCCAGCCGCCGCCGUAA
rnacentral:rRNA from 1 species